GCGGGUGUAGUUCAAUGGUAGAACCUGAGGUUUCCAACCUCAUGAUCGGAGUUCGAUUCUCCGUACCCGCU
rnacentral:tRNA from 2 species